GACAGCAGUCGCCACGGUAAUACAGAGGGUGCGAGCGUUAAUCGGAUUUACUGGGCGUAAAGCGUGCGUAGGCGGCUUCUUAAGUCGGAUGUGAAAUCCCUGAGCUUAACUUAGGAAUUGCAUUCGAUACUGGGAAGCUAGAGUAUGGGAGAGGAUGGUAGAAUUCCAGGUGUAGCGGUGAAAUGCGUAGAGAUCUGGAGGAAUACCGAUGGCGAAGGCAGCCAUCUGGCCUAAUACUGACGCUGAGGUACGAAAGCAUGGGGAGCAAACAGGAUUAGAUACCCCGGUAGUCCCUGUCUCUUAUAC
rnacentral:rRNA from 1 species